rnacentral:ncRNA from 1 species
UUAUCUAAGAGUGUAAUAUGCAGCGGAGGGAAGUGGAUUCUAUGAACAACUUUAGCAUAUAGCAUUGUACAGUACAGUGAGAAACGGCAACCACAUCCAAGGAAGGCAGCAUGUUUUCAAAUUACCCACUCCCAACCCCGGGAGGUAGUGACAAAACAUAACAAUACAGGACUCUUUCGAGGCCCAGUAAUUGAAAUUAAUACACUUUAAAGCCAUUAUACAUA